rnacentral:rRNA from 1 species
UACGUAGGGUGCAAGCGUUGUCCGGAAUUAUUGGGCGUAAAGAGCUCGUAGGCGGUUUGUCGCGUCUGCUGUGAAAUCUGGAGGCUCAACCUCCAGCCUGCAGUGGGUACGGGCAGACUAGAGUGCGGUAGGGGAGAUUGGAACUCCUGGUGUAGCGGUGGAAUGCGCAGAUAUCAGGAAGAACACCGAUGGCGAAGGCAGAUCUCUGGGGCCGUAACUGAC